CUUUUAAACCGUAGUAGUCGCUCCGACGUAAAGUCGGAGAGGAAAGUCCGAGCACCCAAGAGCAUGGUGGUCGCUAACGGCGACCGGUCCGCUGGUAACAGCUGGCAAGGGAAAGUGCCACAGAAACUAUGUCUCUCCGCUUAGCGGGGUAAGAGUGAAAAGUCCGCGAUAAUCAGCGCGGUUUCCGCAUCAGUGAUGGUGCGGGAUGGCAAACCCCACCUGGUGCAAGGCAUGCAUGGGGGAAUGGAAUAUGUGAUGGCUCGUUACACCAUUUCUGCUGCCGCUUAGAUAGAUGACUACUUCUUCUUCGCUCUCACGAGCCUAGAAGAACAGAACUCGGCUUAUGAGUUUAAAAUUUUC
rnacentral:RNase_P_RNA from 1 species